rnacentral:rRNA from 1 species
GACGAACGCUGGCGGCGUGCCUAAUACAUGCAAGUCGAACGCAGUGGGGACGGGUGAGUAACACGUGGGUAACCUCCCAUCAGAGGGGAUAACACUUGGAAACAGGUGCUAAACCGAUACUGAUGGAUGGACCCGCGGUGCAUUAGCUAGUUGGUGAGGUAACGGCUCACCAAGGCCACGAUGCAUAGCCGACCUGCGCGGGUGAGCGUCCACACGGGGACAGAGAGACGGCCCCGAUUCCUACGGAAGGCAGAAGUAGGGAACCUACGAAAAUGGAAAGAAGUCUGACCGGGCAAAGCCGCAUGUCUGAAGAAGGUAUUCGAAUCGUAAAACUCUGUUGUUAGAGAAGCGGUAUCUAACCAUAAAGCCACGGCUAACUACGUGCCAGCAGCAGCGGUAAUAC